UACGUAGGCAGCGAGCGUUGUUCGGAAUUACUGGGCGUAAAGAGUGUGUAGGCGGUGCUCCCAGUCUGUUGUGAAAUCUCCCGGCUUAACUGGGAGGGUGCAGCGGAAACUAGAGUGCUAGAGGGUGGGAGAGGUAAGCGGAAUUCCUGGUGUAGCGGUGAAAUGCGUAGAUAUCAGGAGGAACACCGGUGGCGAAGGCGGGUCUCUGGGCCGAAAUUGACGCUGAGGAGCGAAAGCGUGGGGAGCGAACAGG
rnacentral:rRNA from 1 species